AUCGUUCAACUCGUAGUGAGUCGGAAGUAGGUACAUUGUACCGAAGGAACGCAUG
ncrna:unclassified sequences Glutamine riboswitch